GGUCCCGCCUGCCCAGUGACUGACCAUUAAACGGCCGCGGUAUCCUAACCGUGCAAAGGUAGCGUAAUCACUUGUCCCCUAAAUAGGGACUGGUAUGAACGGCUAAAUGAGGACUUGACUGUCUCCUUUAGUUAAUCAGUGAAAUUGAUCUACCCGUACAAAAGCUGGUAUAAACAUACAAGACGAGAAGACCCUGUGGAGCUUAAAACACCCAUGUCAAACCAACACUACACGCUAAAAUGACAUAACGUUUUCAGUUGGGGCGACUGCGGAAACAAGCCAAACUUCCAAGCCAAAGGCCUCCCCCUUCCUACCACAGACAGACAUGUCAAACCCACAUCUGACCCAGAAUCUCUCUGAGUGACGAACCAAGUUACCCCAGGGAUAACAGCGCUAUCUUCUUCAAGAGUCCCCAUCGACAAGAAGGUUUACGACCUCGAUGUUGGAUCAGGACACCCAAAUGGUGCAGCCGCUAUUAAAGGUUCGUUUGUUCAACGAUUAAAGUCCUACGUGAUC
rnacentral:rRNA from 1 species